GACGAACGCUUGCGGCGUGCCUAAGAAAUGCAAGUCGAGCGAGAUCAUACGCUAUCCAAAGCUUCGGCAGAGGAUUUGUAUGGUCUAGCGGCGAACGGUCGCGUAACACGUAGGCAACCUGCCCUGAAGUGUGGGAUAGCCCGUCGAAAGGCGGAUUAAUACCGCAUGUGGAUAUGAUCUCGCAUGAGGACAUAUCUAAAGCAGCAAUGCGCUUCAGGAUGGGCUUGCGGCCUAUCAGCUAGUUGGUGGGGUAACGGCCUACCAAGGCGACGACGGGUAGCUGGUCUGAGAGGAUGACCAGCCGGAUUGGGACUGAGAUACGGCCCAGACACCUACGGGAGGCAG
rnacentral:rRNA from 1 species